rnacentral:rRNA from 1 species
CGCCUGCCCUGUGACAAAGGUUUAACGGCCGCGGUAUUUUGACCGUGCAAAGGUAGCGCAAUCACUUGUCUUUUAAAUGAAGACCUGUAUGAAUGGCAUGACGAAGGCUUAACUGUCUCCUUUUUCCAGUCAAUGAAAUUGAUCUUCCCGUGCAGAAGCGGGAAUACAACCAUAAGACGAGAAGACCCUAUGGAGCUUUAGACACAAGACAGAUCUUGUCAAACACCUCAAAAUAAAGAAAAAAACUAAAAGAACCCUGUCCUAUUGUCUUUGGUUGGGGCGACCACGGGGGAACAAAUAACCCCCACGCGGACUGAGAAAACAAUUCUCACAACCAAGAGCUACAGCUCUAAUUAACAGAAAUUCUGACCUCAAGAUCCGGCAAUGCCGAUCAACGGACCGAGUUACCCUAGGGAUAACAGCGCAAUCCCCUUUUAGAGUUCAUAUCGACAAGGGGGUUUACGACCUCGAUGUUGGAUCAGGACAUCCUAAUGGUGCAGCAGCUAUUAAGGGUUCGUUUGUUCAACGAUUAAAGUCCU